GACGAACGCUGGCGGCGUGCUUAACACAUGCAAGUCGAACGGAAAGGCUCCAGCUUGCUGGAGUACUCGAGUGGCGAACGGGUGAGUAACACGUGGGUAAUCUGCCCUGCACUCUGGGAUAAGCCUGGGAAACUGGGUCUAAUACUGGAUAUGACCUUUCUCCUUAUGGGGUUUGGUGGAAAGUUUUUCGGUGUAGGAUGAGCCCGCGGCCUAUCAGCUUGUUGGUGGGGUGAUGGCCUACCAAGGCGACGACGGGUAGCCGGCCUGAGAGGGUGAUCGGCCACAUUGGGACUGAGAUACGGCCCAGACUCCUACGGGAGGCAGCAGUGGGGAAUAUUGCACAAUGGGCGGAAGCCUGAUGCAGCGACGCCGCGUGAGGGAUGACGGCCUUCGGGUUGUAAACCUCUUUCAGCAGGGACGAAGCGUAAGUGACGGUACCUGCAGAAGAAGCACCGUCUAACUAUGUG
rnacentral:rRNA from 1 species